CUGGCAAAAUGUAGAUAACAUAAACAUUCUACGUCUUUCUCACGAACAAAAUCUUUGUGACUGGAAGGAUCCUUAUUAAAGAAGUUAAAACUUGAAUAAUAUGUAAUAAUUUAACGCGAAUAGGUGAUGACGAAAGUCAACUUCUGCUUUGGGAUACUUGUGCCUAUGAUAUCCUUAGUGUAACACAGUCAUGUCACCCACGUUGGAAACAUACAAAACGCCAGUAGAGUACCAGUUCAUGUUCAAAAGCCAAAACUAUCGAAAAAUCAAAGGAAGAUAUGAAAGAAAAUCAUAGCUAGAAUGGUUAUAGUAGACGCAAAACGGAAGAACCUGGUCACAAUCAAAACUUCAGGGGCACUUUUAAAUGAAGAUAGCACAACAACUAUUACUGAUGACGGUGCAAGGGCAAAAAAUGCACUAGUGAGCAAGCACUGGAGUACAAUAUCCGAAUAUACAAAUAUAGAUAAUAACAACGAAAUAAAAAAUUAUGCUUCCUGGGCAGCAAGACAUUAAUUACUUCAAUACUUCCGUUCAAGAUAGCAAAACAGUUGGUAGGAUGGAGCAGAGUCAAAUGAGUGUGACAAUAUUUUAUGAGUAAUUCAGGAACUUUGCAAUUCCUUAAUUUACAAGUCAUUUGGUAAAAACUGUAUUGCCUUCAACAAAGACAUGGCACAUGGCAUCGAAAUUAAUACUACCUUGAUCGUCUAGAAUCAGAGCAACACGGGAAUAAACUCGCACUUGUGAUUACAGUCCGUUAUAGGACAUUUAUAAUUUGCCUACAUGGUCAUAAAACUUGGGCAAUUUUGGAGACGCAUUCAGGACUACACUCUCAAACAACGUUAUUCAUUGAUGUAAGGGACUUAGGUCAUACCUUGUUCUUCGGCGAAGACAGUUUUUGUACACUGUUCAGUGGAGACCGAUUUUAUAUUGUUAGAUGUUCAAUGAAAUCAUAUUUGCUCAACGUUUUAAAGAUUUUUAUGAAAACCUGAAAAUGUAUUAUUCUUACCAUUUAAAGGACAUUUGAAUUUAUACACAGCCAUGGCACAACUUUUCAUAGUGCAUAUGACUUUAAAAGAUAUAGGUCACCAAAUAUUGUUUAACGCGACGCGAAUUUAUUAAUUUUAAAGUAUUACAGCUAGGAGUAUCCUCCCCUACUCCACCCCUACAUCCAAAUUUUUAACUGCCUGAUGUGCAGUCUCUCUGUCAACUUGGGACAUUCACAUAAAUAGAGAACAUAUAAUGGGCAGAUUUUGUGAUAAAUACCUAUCAAACACUUCUAGAUUUAAAACUGAAAUAGACACUGUCACUCGUUUUUCUUUCCAAUAACUAUAACCUCGGGGAAAAAACAUUUCCAAUUGCUGUCUAGAAAGUUUAGUCAUUCCAAUGUGUGAUACAUUCAUAUAACAUUUUCAGAAUUAUAAAUAAAAAAUACUCAAAUGG